CCUACGGGAGGCUGCAGUGGGGAAUAUUGCACAAUGGGGGAAACCCUGAUGCAGCGACGCCGCGUGAGUGAAGAAGUAAUUCGUUAUGUUAAGCUCUAUCAGCAGGGAAGAAAAUGACGGUACCUGAGUAAGAAGCCCCGGCUAACUACGUGCCAGCCGCCGCGGUAAUACGUAGGGGGCAAGCGUUAUCCCGAUUUACUGGGUGUAAAGGGGGCGUAGACGGCAGUGCAAGUCCGGAGGGAAAGGCGGGGGCUCAAACCCCGGACUGCUCUGGAAACUGUACGGCUGGAGUGCAGGAGAGGUAGGUGGAAUGCCUAGUGGAGCGGUGAAAUGCGUAGAGAUUAGGAGGAACACCAGUGGCGAAGGCGGCAUACUGGACUGUAACUGACGUUGAGGCACGAAAGCGUGGGGAGCAAACAGGAUUAGAUACCCGUGUAGUC
rnacentral:rRNA from 1 species